GGUCUGCAAUACUUGAAAUGAAGGUAUCAGCUGGGCUGUGUUCUUAUCUGGAAGCCAGACUAGAGAAGGAUCCAUUUCUCCAGCCUGUGACAGAUAUGUGUUGUCUCUGAAACUGUAUGUGGAUAUCAGUGAAAGAAGAGGAGAGGUGUCAUGUCAGCACAGGACAAAAGGCAUGACUCAUGAAUGGUUUAUGUGACCUAAUUUAGGCCAUAGAGGUCCAGACGUGGGGGACCUCUCCAUUGUUGGAAAGCUAUGAUUUAUCUUCUCCUGCAUGGGAAGCUUUGAGAAGAAAUGUUCCAUUUGUUGAAGUAUUACGAAAGAGAGCUCUGAUCAAGAGGAAGAGACUUCAAACUAUGAAAUUUGAAACAGAAAUAUCAAAAAUUUUCACUGACUGAACUGUAUCUCUGGAGAGAUUUCAGGAGUCCUUUGAAGGAACCUGCCAGAAAGAGGAAAAUACUUGACCAGUAUAACCUCAAAAAAGAAGAAACACUGAGCUGGGUCAUGCUCUCUGCUCUCUGCUAAGUGAGGAAACAAUGAUAAAUCAGUCAACUGCAAACCUGGAGGAGUGCCCUCACC
rnacentral:lncRNA from 1 species